GGGAGCCAGCCCCUGGUGACCUCACUGAGCAGCAUGGAGCUAGUAAACCCACCACUCCGCAUCCCAGCCUGUCACUCAGCGCUGCCGAGGCACUGUUAUCGCCACCGCUGUCGCCACCGCUUUAUCCCCAUGUCGAACCAGCACUUAAUGCCUGUGCAGACAUUUAAAUAUUAAAGCGAUGCCGUUUCUGGGCCAGGACUGGCGAUCUCCUGGAUGGAGCUGGGUUAAAACGGAGGACGGCUGGAAGCGCUGUGAGCCCUGGCGGCAGGACCUGGACCGAGAGAGCACCCAGCGCAGCGUCCCGCACGGCA